GACAGAGGGUGCAAACGUUGUUCGGAAUUACUGGGCGUAAAGCGCGUGUAGGCUGCUUCGCAAGUCGGAUGUGAAAGCCCUGGGCUCAACCCAGGAAGUGCAUUCGAAACUGCAGAGCUGGAGUCCUGGAGAGGAAGGCGGAAUUCUCGGUGUAGAGGUGAAAUUCGUAGAUAUCGAGAGGAACACCGGUGGCGAAGGCGGCCUUCUGGACAGUGACUGACGCUGAGACGCGGAAAGCGUGGGGAGCAAA
rnacentral:rRNA from 1 species